GGGAAAUCUUAACAGGUUUCAGACUAAGGGCUGCUUGAGUGGUGAGUGGUAAGUCCUGCAAGUUCUGCUUGGUCACUCAUUUUUCCAGAGAGUUCUAGAAUUCUUAGAAUGCCUUUUGUAUGACUCAGAAAAAUGAGAAUCUUGAGGAAAGUCACUGGGAGAAUGUAGCUGUAAGAAAACCAAAAACACGAAUAACAAUAAGAAAACAAACCCAGAAACCCCUUAAAAGUGCGACCAUGAGACAAGGCAAACGCACCAUGGUGAUGGAGAUACGCAACUCUGGUUUCUAUGGACAUGCACAUUGAAAUGUGUAGACCUGUCCCUUGUUUUCAAGGGCUCUGUUAGAGUUUUUGUUGGGAGGGAGUAGAAACAGGCCCUGCGUCCUUGGGGGAUGGCAGGCAUGUGUCAGGAGGGGGUGCGCAGUGAGGAGUCAGAGCUUCCUACCAAGGCUGAAAGCUGUGCAGUGAGGCCAUUAGGCCGUUUGUGCUGAGAGGCUGUAAGACCCAGCUGCCAUUUUGUCUUUGCAAAACGUGUAUGAAACUAAACACAGAUGAGUAACCUACCAGCCGAGAAAGAGGUAUGGACAAGGUUCUGACCCUUAUUAUUGGAACUCAAAUCCAGAUGGAACUCGUGAAAGCAACAUUCUUGUGUUGGAGUGCAAGUAUGAUUUAAAGUUGUGGGGGAAGACAACCAAAAUAGCAAAAUAACGAAUGCGUAUGUUAAUAUCGUCAAGUGGAAGGUUAAAAUAGCAAGGAUCAAAGAAGAGCAUGGCUCAAUGUGUGACAUUUCUUUCUUGCAACUUAUUGUGUCUUUAUGGAAGCCUUAUUGUCUGCAAAAAAAAAGGGGGUUCAAAGGCAAUUUUUAAAAUGCUCAGUUAAAGGCUGAAGUCAGCCUAGUUUAAAAGGUAAGUGAUCCAUCGAUGAACUAAUAACUACCAACAGCACCUCUUUUAUUCCAAUCUGCAGCUGACAGAGUCUCUUCUUCCUCCUAUUCCACAGCUGUCAGAGCAACUUCAGCCCCAGAGGGUUUCAAUCUCUCAACCGCCGGCUCCCUGGCAACUGGUCCUUUUUUGAAUCCUGCACUUACACCAGUGCAAGGGCCCCUGGAUGUGGGACCUGCUAUUUACCUUCAAUCUUUUCUUUAUGAUUGGGUACCAAUAUGGGUCCUCUAGCCCCAUGCAUUACAACAACAGUCCUGAGUCAGUUAACUUUCAAGCGUUUUUAUUAAAUAACCACUACAUGCUGGAUAUUGUUCUAGAUCCUUCAUCUAUCACCCCAAGAGACAAAAAUGUUGUGUGUCUAGGAGGACCUUACCUAAGCAAACGUCCUGGGUUCCCCUGUUGUUCCUCUUGGCUUUACUUUGAUUGCAGCUGUGGCUGUGGUAGACAGUCCAAGAGGGGGCAGACUCAUCUCUCCCAGGAAGUGCACGGCAGAGAACACCCAGGAUGCCUCUCCACUUUCCCUCUCCAGGGCUCCCCUACUUGUGGGAGACUGAUUGGAAGAGAACGGAUACAAUGACUCCAGUGUCUUAAAUGAACCAGUGAGAGGUGAGAACCGGGAGAUGAACACAGCAGCCUCUCUUCCUGCAGGAACACACUUCCCAGAGGCAUUCUGUACUCUGAUCACAGGAACCCCUACAUCACCAAAUGCCAGUUGUCUUCAGCAGUGACCUCAGUCAUGUCUAUUUCUUUAUUGUGGUGUUUCAUCCUUCUCCAUCUCACUCCUUAUUCCUGGAAUCACUUCCUAGGUAAAUGACAUAUACCCAAUGCUUUAUCUUAGGUUUACUUUCAGGGAAUCCCUAAGACAAACAACAGAAAGAAACCUUGGUAAAUUAUAGGAAAUAAAGAAGGCAUGUAUGCCGUGUGAAAUGUAUGAGCAGAGCAAGGAGAUCAGGAUGUAGACAGCAGAUUGGAACAUGACUGGUUGCCAUUUAAAACAGAAUAGUCAGGAGGUGCCUGAACAGAAAAAUGCAUUGGAACUGAGGAUGGAAAUAUGUGAGUGAAUUAGUCCCAAAGAUGUAUGGAGAAGUGAGCCCUGGGCAGAAGUUUGAGUGGUUGCAGGAGAGAGACUUGGGGAGAGGAGAGGAGGGGGAAGGAGAGUGGUAGGGUGGGCAACACUGGAUUGCAUAGCAUGGCCAGACCGGUGUAAGGACUGUGAGGUGGGAGCGACAGGGGGUUGCAGGCUGUGGGGCAUGCCCCCUAGAGACUGGACUAGUCCAGUGUGCACAUGCCCCUUCUGACCUUCCAACAUCAGCAAGGACAUCGUGGGGUUCCUGUACCUCCCGGUUUGACUUCUGGCUUUCUCGUUCAUUUGUGAAAUGGAAGUGGCACAUCUUAUUCAUUUGCAAGAUGUUAAGGUCAAGAUGACUGGGGAAAAAUGAUUUUUGAACCUUUAUUUUCUGGAUAAGUAAUUAUUUCCAAACUUCUUGUCUCCAGUCUAAGGAAAGUCACCAGAUGGGAGAGCUUAGAUUCCUUUUGUUCUGAAAAGCUCAUUUGAUUGCCAAACUUCUCGCAGACAUUUUGGAGAAUGUACUACUGAUGGGAUGUUGGAUGAUGGCUUCCAGUGGAAAGAGAUGGGAAUGUUUAGUGGGGGUUUUUUUUUGUGUGAUUUUUUAAAAAGAUUUUAUUUAUUUAUUUGAGAAGUAGAGUUACAGACAAUGAGAGGGAGAAACAGAGAGAAAUGUCUUCUGUCUGCUGGUUCACUCUCCAAUGGCCACAAUGGUCGGAGCUGCGCUGAUCCGAAGUCAGGGGCCAGGAGCUUCUUCUGGGUCUCCCACAUGGGUGCAGGGGCCCAAGCACUUGGGCCAUCUUCUACUGCUUUCCCAUGCCAUAGCAGAGAGCUGGAUCAGAAGAGGAGCAGCUGGGACUAGAACUGGCGCCUAUAUGGGAUGCUGGUGCUGCAGGCAGAGGAUCAACCUACUGCACCACAGUGCCAUCCCCAAGGUAUGUUUUAUCUUGGAGACUUCAGAUAAGCUUUCAUGCUUGCUACUUAAUUAUCUAAUGAAGUAUUAGAGCAUGAGUGUGUUCUAGCAUUUUCUUUUUUCACAUACUUUGUUUCUACCUCAACUUUUGACUUAAAUUGACCAGUUAGGGUAGCUACAGGGACUGGCUUGUUGUUUGAUGUGUUUUGGCCUUGACCUUGGCCUUUGUUUUUUAUUGAGGGGUUCCUUUUGACAAAUAUAAAACACCGUCUUUUACUUUUGUGUUAACAAUCAUUCCACAAGCUGAAGUCCUCCCCCCGCCUUCCCUAGAUAUUUGUCUGUCCAUUCUUAGUAAUCUGGACAAAGUCAACCCAGAAUUGUAGCUAUAAAAAAAUUCUGUGAUGCUGGUUAGGAUCUGUGCCUAACAAUGUCACUCCUUUACUUCUUUUUAAAAGAUUGUUAUGCUAGCAAAACACAUUUAUGUGUGUGUACAUUUCAAUAAAAUUUCAGAUGAAAAAUCAUGAUCACACAUUAUACAUUUUUUUUGACAGGCAGAGUUAGUGAGAGAGAGAGACAGAGAGAGAGAGACAGAGAGAAAGGUCUUCCUUUUCUGUUGGUUCACCCCCCCAAUGGCCGCUAAGGCUGGCACACUGUGCUGAUC